AUUGAACGCUGGCGGGAUGCCUUACACAUGCAAGUCGAACGAGUGGCGGACGGGUGAGUAAUAUAUGGGAAAGUGCCAAGUAGCGGGGGAUAAAUACUGGAAAGGGUGGCUAAUACCGCAUACCAUUGGAGGGGCCGAUAUGGGAUUCGCUAGUAGGUUGGGUAAAGGCUCACCAAGGCAACGAGCCCUAGCUGGUUUGAGAGGACGACCAGCCCCACUGGGACUGAGACACGGCCCAGACUCCUACGGGAGGAAGCAGUGGGGAAUAUUGCACAAUGGUCGCAAGCCUGAUGCAGCCAUGCCGCGUGUAUGAAGAAGGCCUUAGGGUUGUAAAGUACUUUCAGUCGGUAGGCGUUACCGGCAGAAGAAGCACCGGCUAACUCCGUGCCAGCAGCCGCGGUAAUUC
rnacentral:rRNA from 1 species